rnacentral:rRNA from 1 species
UACGUAGGGGGCAAGCGUUGUCCGGAAUCAUUGGGCGUAAAGCGCGCGUAGGCGGCCCGGUAAGUCCGCUCUGAAAGUCCAGGGCUCAACCCUGGAAAGCGGGUGGAUACUGCCGGGCUAGAGUACGGAAGAGGCGAGUGGAAUUCCUGGUGUAGCGGUGGAAUGCGCAGAUAUCAGGAGGAACACCUAUAGCGAAGGCAGCUCGCUGGGACGUUACUGACGCUGAGGCGCGAAAGCGUGGGGAGCGAACAGGG